AAUUUGUGGGAUGAAAGACUCGGUCCUUGCUUUAAUAAAGUAGGUGAUCCGUUGUCUGCAUUCCAUCAUUCUGGAAGAUGUAGCUGCCCUUGAUUGGGUUGGUUGCUUGUUCUAGAACGUUUACUGUGAGAAAAUGGGAGUGUUCAACGCAGGCUUAAUAGCAUGUCUGAACCGUUUAGCAUGGAAUAAUGAAAUAUAACUUCUGUUAUCUUUCGUUGGCUUAUACAAUAGAAGUAAUGAUCGAUAGGGAUAGUUGGGGGUGCUCAUAUUCAGGGGGUAGCGGUGAAAUGCUCUGAUCCUCUGAAGAUGAACUAAUGCGAAAGCAUU
rnacentral:rRNA from 1 species